GGGCCUUAGCUCAGUGGCGGAGUAUCUGCCUGGUAUGCAGAAGGUCCCAGGUUCAAUUCCUGGCAUAUCCA
rnacentral:tRNA from 1 species